GCCUGGUUGGGGGUGCUAUACAUGCGUCGAGCGGACAGAAGGGAGCUUGCUCCCGGAUGUUAGCGGCGGACGGGUGAGUAACACGUGGGUAACCUGCCUGUAAGACUGGGAUAACUCCGGGAAACCGGAGCUAAUACCGGAUAGUUCCUUGAACCGCAUGGUUCAAGGAUGAAAGACGGUUUCGGCUGUCACUUACAGAUGGACCCGCGGCGCAUUAGCUAGUUGGUGAGGUAACGGCUCACCAAGGCGACGAGCGUAGCCGACCUGAGAGGGUGAUCGGCCACACUGGGACUGAGACACGGCCCAGACUCCUACGGGAGGCAGCAGUAGGGAAUCUUCCGCAAUGGACGAAAGUCUGACGGAGCAACGCCGCGUGAGUGAUGAAGGUUUUCGGAUCGUAAAGCUCUGUUGUUAGGGAAGAACAAGUGCAAGAGUAACUGCUUGCACCUUGACGGUACCUAACCAGAAAGCCACGGCUAACUACGUGCCAGCAGCCGCGGUAAUACGUAGGUGGCAAGCGUUGUCCGGAAUUAUUGGGCGUAAAGGGCUCGCAGGCGGUUUCUUAAGUCUGAUGUGAAAGCCCCCGGCUCAACCGGGGAGGGUCAUUGGAAACUGGGAAACUUGAGUGCAGAAGAGGAGAGUGGAAUUCCACGUGUAGCGGUGAAAUGCGUAGAGAUGUGGAGGAACACCAGUGGCGAAGGCGACUCUCUGGUCUGUAACUGACGCUGAGGAGCGAAAGCGUGGGGAGCGAACAGGAUUAGAUACCCUGGUAGUCCACGCCGUAAACGAUGAGUGCUAAGUGUUAGGGGGUUUCCGCCCCUUAGUGCUGCAGCUAACGCAUUAAGCACUCCGCCUGGGGAGUACGGUCGCAAGACUGAAACUCAAAGGAAUUGACGGGGGCCCGCACAAGCGGUGGAGCAUGUGGUUUAAUUCGAA
rnacentral:rRNA from 1 species